ACGAAUCAAAUAAGAUCCAACAUGACUACGUUUUUUCUUAUGUAUAUGGAGUAAAAGAUAAUCAAAGUUAUGACGUGAAUAAUGCCUACUGCCAAAAAUGUACAACUAAUUUGGGUAUGUCCGAGAUGAACUAAUGAUCCUAAGCACCCAUAAAAGGAGCUAAAGGGGGCAAAGUUAGGGUUCUUUCUAAAGAAUGAGGCUGGGAGAGGCUUUGGGAGUUUCCUGAGGACCGUUUUGCCCCUCUCCCAUGAUGAUCUCCGAUCAUCUUUAGCUGAUGAUUUCUCCGACCACCUUAAAACGGCCCUCUAAUUUACUCUGCGCGAUAAGCUUAACGAGCUUCUGUAAUCAUAAAUCAUCAUCAUCUUCAGUCUUCACUCCUCAACAACAAAAACAAAAGUUGAAAAAUACUUCCUCCGUUUCAUAGAGGCUAUGAUGAGAAGAAAUAGUUCAAAGUAGUCAAAUUUAAUUUAGUUUGAAGCGUUUUUUGAGGUGGGUUUUUUUGCAAUUAGGCUUGGCAGCAACUUUUGGGACUUGGGUCUUAAAUUUUGCUUUGCCGCCAAUGGUAAUUUUCCUACCUUAAAAUGCUCACUAAAUUGGUUGAUGAAAUGCGGAUCUGAGCCUCUUUAAUUUACCACAUUCAUUUUUUUUUUAUUCAUAUGAGCCACGAAUGCGAUAUAAAGUACAAAGAAGGUGAAGGGGGAUUUGAACCUAUUCACAGCACCUCAAUUUUAACCAGUAGGCCAAGACAUCCUUGGUAAUUUACCACAUUCAUGGAAAAGUUGAUCUUUUGUCAUGGACUUGGGAAUCUACAUGCAGUGCCUCUGUGGUCUCCCUGUUGAUGCCAACCAACUGUUGUGGGAACAGAUAUGAGCCUUUCUACUCUUCCAUGCUUGGUACUAUUAAGAUAAACUAAUGGUAUUGCUUAAGCUGCACAAUACCCCCUCUUCUAUUGAGAUACUACAAUAAAGAAUAGAACAUGCUACCUACUGAUCUUCAUGUUAGCGCUCUCUCCAACUGAGCUAUCCUGAACAUAUAUUCAUUGUCUUGGUAAUGAUUCCAGCGUAACUUAUUGGAGGCAAUGAUGAAUUUCCCCCUCAUAUCUUCAGAAUAAGGCUAUGUUUAGUUCACCUUAUAAGGGUGCAUUCUCUUCACCCAGACUUACCUGAACUGAACGGAACUGAACUUAGACUUGAUUGGACCCAUUCAGCUGUAAUUUCACCUUUGCGUUUACUUACUCCUGAUUGGGAUCGAUCAGCCUGAAACUUAUUUUGUAAGAUGAAGAGAAUGCACCCUAAGCUUGUUUUCAGCUCUUGCGAAAAAAAGACUAGACGGUCCUUUGCCAUGUGCCUGGCAGCAGCAUUUGCUUGGUUUGCCGCCGUGGCUUGACCGAAAGUCUCUUCCUAUGUUUGAUUAAGGGUGAAUCUGAGCCUCCUCUCUCUCUCUCUCUUUCACUCACUGUGUAUGUGGUGUGUGUCUGUCUCUUUCUCUGUACCUUCUUAAAUCAUCCAAAGUUUUAUAUGAUGAGGCUGGGAGAGGCUUUCUGGGAGUUUUGAGGACUGUUUUGCCCCUCUCCUAUGAUGACAAGCAGUCAUCUUUAGCCAAUGACUGAUCUGAAAACCCAUAAAAUGGUCCUCUAAUUUGCCCUGCUCGGGGGCUUUUAACGGCCUUUCAAUCAUGAAUCAUCAUCAUCCACUUCACUCUCCUCAAAAAAGAAAAAAAAAUAUUAUACUUCCUCCGUUUCAUAGAGGCGGUGAUGAGAAGAUAUCGUUCAAAGUAGUCAUAUUCAUUUUGGUUUGAAGCGUUUUUCGAGGUGGAUUUUUUGCCAUUAGGCUUGGCAGCAACUUUUGGGUCUUAAAAUUUGCUUUGCCGCCAAUGGUAAUUUCCUUACCUUAAAAUGCUCACUAAAUUGGUUGAUGAAAUGUGGAUCUGAGCCUCCUUAAUUUACCACAUCCAAGAAAAUUUGAGAAAGUCUUCAUUUUUGUUAUUGUUACAUGUGAUUAUUGACGAAAUGACAUGAAUAUUUCUUUGCAUGUAAUUAUCUAUUAUUGGUGUGGGUACAACUUCCUUUUUUGGGCAUGUGAACUUGUUAUGUCUGAUAUUGUUUUGAAGAAAAGAAAAUUGAAGUUGAGGUUUUUGGUUUUUGAAACUUGUCAAUUUUGUUGCAAUGUUGAGUUUGUUGAAUGUAUAUGUUAAGGUCAGUUACUCAGUUCUUUUGUGGUUGAAAUGUGCAGGUUACUUGCAUGGGUUUUGGUGAAAAGUCAGGUGUAAGAAUUAGGGUAGAAAAUGCUGUAGAAACUUUGUAAACUUAUGUGGUAAUGUUUUGAGUACUAUUGCAUGGGCGUCAAUUCAUCUAGUACCCAUAAAUCAUAGAACUUGAGGAAAACUCUGACACUAAUAAGUAAUCUUUAGUGUGUUUUAUGUUUUACAAUUUUUGCAGUCUACUUUGGUUUUGCAAAUAUUAUGUUUGCAUUCAUCAUAUUGUGCGUUAAUCAAAUUUGGUGGACAGCAAUAGUUUGAUUUUGAGUAUAUUGACUGCCUUGUGAACUUUCGUGAAGAGGUACCCUUUGAUUUUUAUAUGAUCAAUGAGGUAAAUUGCAGGUUUUUAUGUGUUAUUGUUGGAUAUUUGAUGUCUGCUGCUUGAAUAAGUCGGUACUUUCGGGUGUGAAUCAACUGCUUGAUGAAAUGAAUAUAGGUAGUCUGAGAUUAUUCAAUGUAGUCAUGUCACGUGCUCUUUGAACAUCAGGUGUCUUGCUCCAUAUUGCACGUCCAUCAUCUUGUUGCUUUUUUUGUGCUUCCUUUUCUUUACAUGUAAAUAGUUAGUAGACCAAAUGAGUAUGUGAAUUGAACGAAAUGGUUCAACGUAAUUGUUGCUGGUUUGCCAUUGAGCCACGAAUAUAUGAUAUGCAGGUUGAAUUUUUCUCACUGACUUGGGCAAUCUAUAUGCAGUGCCUCUAUGGUCUCCCUGUUGAUGCCAACCAACUCAUCAGUGAUUGCUGAUGCUAGUAAUUGUUGAGGGUUUGCUCAGCGGAUGAUUUUGUUGGACUACCUCUCUUUACUUUCUCAUUUGUCCGUGUUCAUGCAAUGGUGCCUCUCGUUGGUGCCACCAUGGAAAGUCGACCUCCCCUUGUUUCCUUUAUCCUCCAUCUAAAACAAUACUUGGGAGUUGACGUGUUGGGAUAAGUAGGAUAAUGGAAUGACUUCAUUCAUAUAGAACUGACCAUCUCUAUCAUACUGUUAGUUAGAUUCAAUAACCAAAAAACAGGAAUGGCUUUAUUGUUGUCUGCAUUGGAUUUUACCCAAAGUAUCAACAGUUGGGAAACAAAGACAACAAAUGUGGAAAUUUUGUGGCAUUUAAUUGUAUCUCUUUCUCUGUUCAGCGCUCUAUUUUCCUCUGCAGCGAAAAGAAAUUACCGUGUUUAUCCAUGGAGCAAUCUAAAUGACAGCUCUAGCCUCUAGAUGAUUCACCAAGCAAGGAUCCGAAAGGCAGCCAUCAAUCUUCUUGGUCCAAGGAGAACAACAUUUUUUCUCUGAUCAUUGUCGUUCUUGUAUGCAUGAAAGUGGCAGCAAGUAGUAAUGAGGGUAAGGCGUAUUUUCACCCCCAAAGUGCCCCUGGUGUCUAGUGAGGUUUGAUCCGACAAUUGUAUUGUAUAAGAUACAAAUUAUGAGGAUGUUAUCUUGGAUUUUCAGUCCUUAAUAUUAGAUCUGUGUAUAUCGUGGGUAAAUACUAAAUACCUAAGAAUCUUUACAUUAAUUUUUGACCCCUAAACAAAAGUAAUGUAAAGAUCUUUGUUGAACUGUAAUAAUUGUCUUAGUGUGGAAAAAUGAAGUGAUGAUGGAGUAUUGUGUUCA